rnacentral:lncRNA from 1 species
CCGCAGGGUUGGCCACCUUGAGAAGCUGCGAAGAUGGCGGAGUAAGGCGUGCCGCUGCAAACUGGCCUCUGGGCCGGGGGCGAGCAGCCCCCGGGAGGCCGAGUGCAUCUGUUGGACCGUGCGAGGUGAGAAGAAAAAAAAUAUCGGCCAGAGGAGAGGAACUAACCGAACAUUCUUCCUCCCUACCUUAUAGAGGGGAGUGGUCAUCUACACUAAAGCAAAGUGUUAGGCGCGUCCGUGCGAAGAGACCACCAAACAGGCUUUGUGUGUUCCUUAUCACAGGAAGAAAAUUUUCCUUGACCUUUAGGUGCUUUUAUAUUCAUCUCAAAAACAAAAUUCUGAACUCAGGACUUGGCAAGUGAGGUGCAAGCGAAGAUGCAGUGCUACCUUAUUUUUCAUUUUUAUUUUUUGGAGACAGAGUCUCACUCUGUUGCCCAAGCUGAGUGCAGUGGUGCAAUCAUGGCUCACUGCAACCUCAACCUCCAGGGCUCAAGCGAUCCUCCUGCUUCAGCCUCCUCCAAAGUAGCUGGGACCACAAGAGGGCACCACCACGCCCUGCUAAUUUUUUAUUUUUUGUAGAGUGGGGUCUUGAUAUGUUGCCCAGGCUGGUCUCCAAUUCCUGGGCUCAAGGGAUCCCCCUGCCUCAGCCUCCCCAAAGUGCUGGGAUUACAGGUGUGAGCUGCUGCACCUGGCUCAGUGCUACUUUAAAACACAAAUGUGGCCGGGCCCAGUGGCUCACGCCUGUAAUCCCAAUACUUUGGGAGGCUGAGGCGAGUGGAUCACUUGAGGUGAGGAGUUUGAACCCAGCCUGGCCAACAUGGUGAAACCCCGUUUCUACUAAAAAUACAAAAAUUAGCCGGGUGUGGUGGUACAGUGUCUCUAUGUUGUCUCCUAGAGUGGGUAGUCCUGCUUCUUUUACCCAGUUACUUUCCCGUUUUUGAAAUGUGGCUAUCACUUCUCUACACAUUACCUCCAUGAUUUGGAAUGGAAAAGGCCACUUUUCUUUUUGUUCUGCCUCUCAAAUUCAACACAGAGGAGCUCCUAGGAUUCCAGUUAUCCUGCUAACAUCUCCAGGAAGAAAGAAGCAACUCACAUGGGUCUUUUGCUGUUUGCUUAAUUAUAAAGACAUCAUUUUGCAAGCAGAAGGCUGAGUUUCAUUUGAAACAGGUGCUUAGGUGGUGGUAUUUGUGAAUACUUUUCAUUCCAAGCAAGAAGACUAAAGAAGUAGCAAGUAUGAAUGACUUCAGGGUUUAAAAAAAAUGUCUUCCAGUUUCAGCCACUACCAUGAUAAGCACAGUUGAGACUGCAGCAGUAAAUUCCAAAUAUGUGUUUCUAAUUUGACGUGAAAGAUACUAAAAAUUUAUAUUUGUAUAUUUAAAUCCUGGCUCAUCCUGUGACAUAGAUUUACUGAAUAGGAACAAAGGCCCAAUUUUAAACAAAAACCUAGGCCGGGUGUGGUGGCUCACACCUGUAAUCCCAACACUUUGGGAGGCCAAGGCAGGCAAAUCACCUGAGGUUGGGAGUUUGAGACCAGCCUGACCAACAUGGAGAAACCCCAUCUCUACUAAAAAUAGAAAAUUAGCCAGGUGUGGUGGUAGAUACGUGUAAUCCCAGCUACUCGUGAGGCUGAGGCAGGAGAAUUGCUUGAAUCCGGGAGGCGGAGGUUGCAGUGAACUGAGAUUGCACCACUGCACUCCAGCCUGGGCGACAGAGUGAGACUCCGUCUCAGAAAAAUAAAAAACAACUUUGGACAUAGAGGAGUUGGGGGCAGAGGGGGGAGGAUGAGAGAAUUUUCCAUGUAACUCCUUUUCCUUAAGAAAAAGAAGCAAAAAUCCCUCAUGCAGUGCCAUCUGACUUUAUGGUGUUUCACAUUAUAUAGUUACUUUUUUUAAUAAACGCAUAAGAUUAACUCUUCCUGCAACCCAAGGUGGAUACUUGGAUGUUUGAUUUUUAUUUAUUUAUUUAUUUAUUUUUUGAGGCAGUCUCUCUCUGUUGCCCAGGCUGGAGUGAUGCGUGAUUUCUGCUCACUGCAGUCUCUCCCACCCGGGUUCAAGCGAUUCUCCUGCCUCAGCCUCCCAAGUAGCUAGGAUUACAGGCGCGCACCACCACGCUCAGCCUGAUUUCUAGGCUGAAAAGGCUGGGACUCAGGUACUUUCCCCAGUUGGGACUGAACUUUCUCAUCAGAGAAUGGGCCUCAGAAGCAAUGUUCCCAAACUUGUGGUUGGGUCAUCGUGGAAAAGAAACCUCAAAUAAGAAAAAUAAUUACAAUAAGAAAUGGAUUUUCUUUUUUCCCACAACAGUUAUACAUUAUAAAGAACAGACUGUCGUAGAAAACUGUCUUUGCUUCCAAAUCAGCAGAGGACCAUUGUAUGUAUUGUCAGGUCUUUAUAUAAGAGUGAAACCUUUAUUUAUGCUUCUUGUGAGUAGAGAAUAAAUUUUAAAACUAAUUAGAUGAAAUUAAGAACAGAGUAUUGGAACAUCUCUGUGUUUUCCGGAAUGUUUACUCAGGUCCAUGAAUGCUGUGAUGCUGGGAACUUAGGGAAGAUUCACCAAAAUUUGAGAGUGAUAAAAAUGGCCUAAAAUGGGAAAUGGUGAGCACUCUUAUUAUUAGUGAGAUUGGUCAAUCAGCCCAUUUGAAAUGGGUAAAAAAUACUUUCAGUAAAAUAAUUACAUAUUAUAUAUAAAAUAUUUCUUUUUUUGAGGGCAGCUACUGAGUGAUAAAAGCAUAGUAGAAAUCACUUUGGUUAAAAGUAACUCAAAUUUUUCUCUUAAGUAAUCUACCAACUUCCUGAUGUUUUUCUUUAAUAUUUUGGAACUGUUCAAGACAGAAUGGAGCCUACAUAUAUGGUGUUCCACUAGUAUGUUGAAAAUGUCAUAUCAUGGAGAAUGGAGACACCUUCCAGGUGUCUGUUAAACCCAUCUUCUCUGUGUACUUCUGGCAUCUUUUUUGGUAGGAUCAUUUGGCAGGGGGUAGAGUACCUGUACUUUUGGCACCAUUGAAACCAGCUCUGGCCCACUUGUUUGAAUAGCUAUCAGACUCAGCGUCUCUAUAUGCUUUAUAUACAGUUGAGAGAACCAGUGUUUAAUGCUCUUGAAAUUGUAUCUUCCAUGCUUCAGACCAGAUGCAUUUAACAAAAUGGAUAUAUUCCAGCUGUAGUUGCCCAGUGUUUACUUAACACAUCUACAUUUUUUUCUUGUCUAUUUUGGUCCCCUUGAUAGGAAAAGCUAUAAUUUUAGGCAGGACUAUACGUCGAUUUGUAGCCAUGCUUCCUUCCUUUCCCUUGCUCAUCCAUGUUAGCUGGCAGUUUUUCUUUUGAAAAGUUAAAACCGGGAUAUGUGCAAUAGAAAUAUAUAUAUAUAUAUGUAUAUUUUAAUACUUGUGGACAAAUGUUACAAGUUGUUUAAGAACAACAAAAUCACCAAUGUCUUCCAUUUUGAGAUGUGUAUAGUUUUGUAAGCAUUAGUGCUUGGUAGCAUAUUGUAGUGCCAUGUUAGGGGUUAGUGCAUGAGUCUAGUGAUUUUAAACUUCAGGAUGAAUUAUUGAUAAUAACAAAUAGUGUAAAAAGAGUGGAAAAUCUAAACCUUUUCUUUUUCCAUAAUGUCUAAAUCUGUUAUAUUCUUCCUGGGGAAAAGAGAUUAAGGCCCAAAAGACUCAUUUAUGAAUAGAAAUGUGGGGUCAAAAUCUGAGAUACUAUAUUUGAGGACAUUUCAGCUUUCCAUAAGGUAUCUGGAAACCAGCUGUCUUUGUGUCUUAUGAAACCUCAAGUCAAAAUGAGACCGCAUUUAAUUAUUCUGCUUUGCUCUUUUUUUGGGGUGGGGGGGAGAUAGAGUUUCACUCUGUCACCCAGGCUGGAGUGCAGUGGCACAAUCUUUGCUCACUGUAACCUCUGCCUCUUGGGUUCAAGUGAUUCUCGUGCCCCAGCCUCCCGAGUAGCUGGGACUACAGGCACGUGCCACCACGCCCAGCUAAUUUUUAUAUUUUUAGUAGAGACGGGGUUUUGCUGUGUUGGCCAGGCUGGUCUCAAACUCCUGACCUCAAGUAAUCCACCUGGCCUGCUCUUUUCAUGUCUUAACAUGGCAUGUCUUUUAGUUUCAUUAUUUUCCUACUCCUUGUAUGUCAAGAAAUUACAUUUUGCAUGUCUUAUGGAGAUGCUGUUAAUUGCUUCAGUGAGUGCUUUUCUAAUCUGCAGACCAUUUACAUUUCCUGUUUGCAGCAUGCUGUGUGCAAACACUCAGUAAUUUGGAGUAUUCAAUUAUUUGUUAGGGCUCUUCCUAUUUCCAAAUGUGCUGAAUUGUCUAUUGAUGGGAUUUUCAGAUCUUUUCAUGAGAACUGGAAAUGUAGCUGGGUGGCACCUACCUAGGUUGCUACGUAGUGAGUAGACUUUCUCUUGGGUAUAGUAAGCCUCAGACAGCUUUCACUUUUAUCUACUUUACUUGUGGAAAUAAAACAGUCAUUUUGUUCUGAAAGAAUAAGAUAGCUUUCUGUAGAGAAGGAAUUCCUACCUCUAAAAGCUGCCUUGAGAACUCAGAACUGGCAGUUUUCUGAGGUGAUUUUUAAAUUUCAGUAUUAGGGAGAGUCCAGCAUUUGCUGACACAGAUUCUACAUAACUAAUGUAUGAUAGCAAAUGCAAAACUAUUAUAAUGUGGUGUAUCUUGCGCAUACACAGGUUAGAACAAGUAGACUCUGGCAGCAGAUCUCCAGAGACCCAAGUUUAGGUUCUCAUAGUGUAUUUGAAGUAGUUAUACUCCUGGCUUAAGUAGUUUAGUGCCUGGGAGAAUCCAUUACUGAAAAGCAUUUAACUUAAAAAAAAAAAAAAAAAAAAAUUUAGAACAGUAUGAAUGUAUAUGAAUUUAUCUUUAUGUGAGAAAUAAUCUUUUUUGUAAGUUAAAGGUUAAAGACCCUGCUUGUUUCCUAAAUCAGAGGGUUAGAGCUGUUGAAAUUAAACCUUUAUAGUGCUUAACCUGGAAACAAAUGUACUACAGCCCCACUGAAGCCGCUCUAUGGGUUUUUUGCUUACGAUGUUUUAGCAACAGGCAUUUAUUUUGUAGAAUGGUAUACUUUCUGCUUUGUCUCCUCAUCUUUCUCCACUGGUUUCCUGGGUACAUUUUUUUUAAAGGGAGAGAAGUUUGUGAGUUUAAUGUUUUAAAAAAACUCCCAAGAACAUGGAUAAGCCGGAUUUCUCUCAUGCUUAUGAUUAGGGAGUUAGGAUUUAAAGAUGCAAAGCAGAAGGACUGAAAGGAAUAGCCAGUGAAUAUGUUUCAGUGGGUGAGGUGUGAAACCUUGUCUAAUAUAGAUGUGUCCUAUGGCCUGUGACUGCUUAUUCUUUAUCAAUGAGAACUCAGCAAACUAGUUUCUUUCUUGAUCUGAGGAACCACACAGCUCACAUCAGAAUAUAAUAGUGGAACUAGGGUGACUUCACUCCCUUUCACCUGAUGUCUAUCUUGGCCUUUUAGCACCUUGACUAUCCCUGAAAAGACUGGGUCUUUGUUUUCCCAGGGAAAAAACGAAGUGAUGUAGAUCUAAGAAAUAGUGCCUCUUUAAUAUUUAAUUCUUACAUGACAACUAACACACAGGGAAAAGGCUAUGUUAAGUUGAUUAUAGCUCCUCUUAAAAUGUCCUAUGCUGUCAGUUGGUCUUAGAGACAUGGGAAUAACCAAGCAAUAUUCAGACAUCUGCACUAUCUGGGGACAGCGCUACAUAGUACAAUGAUGUCAGCAGUUCAGUUACUUGGAACAAUUAAAGAUUACCCUUAACAGCCAUGUUAAUACAUCUAAAUGCUAAAAUAUACUACGAGUUUUUCAUAGUCUUGAAAGUAUACAGUUAAUUACUUUUCAAAGUUACUGUGGUCUCAUGUUUACUCUUCUUGUAUCUGUGAUAUGCAAAAAGAUGAAGACUCUUGGCCUCCAGGAGUUUACAUUCUCAUGGUGCUGUUGGUUCAAGCAGAUUGCUUUAGUUUAUUAAUGAACAUUGCUUGGCUAUUAAUUAUAUCCUAUUUGGAAGGAUCCCUUGGUGAACAGUUUUAAAAAGCAGAGGGCUGUGCUAAAUUUCAGGGUAUUGAUAGCUUGAGUUUACAUUGUAUUAGCCCUGCUCGUUAUCAUUUUUUUCCCCAGGGAGCUAUGCAGGUAAUGCUCAUUAGCAUGAAUCAGAAAAGAAACCAUUCUGCCUAAGAGCAUCUUAACCAUCCCCCUAAACCACCUAUGCUCUCCUGUUAUAGUUGUCAGUAAAUCACGAAGAAAAUUAACAGCUCCUUAAGACUCUACAUCCCUCAAUUCUCUUUCUUUUCCCAGAGUUUGUACAUCAUUCUCUACUCAGAUGGACCAGGAUUUGCAUAUAAGCCUUUUAAAACUGACUAGUGGUCCUAAUUUUAACAUUUUUGUGUAUGACUCCUAUCCCUUUUCUGAAGCAGCAUUGUGAUAGAUGUGGAGCUUCUACCUGCAUUUCUAAGCAAUUAUUAACCCAACUUUUGAGUUGAAACUUGCAUGGAUCCUUGUUAUGUCCCGUAAUUCCUCUGAAUCAAGGAAUUUAUUUUGCAUGCUUAUUAAACUCAAACUGGGUCUGAUUGAAAGUGCAAGCAAUAGUGACAGGACCUUAACUCUGGUUUUAGAGUACGAACAUUCUAAUGCAUGACUCAAAAUGUCCAGUGUUGUGGUUACUAGUUAUUUUAUAUAUGCAUUUGUUAAUAAUGAAGCAAUAGAGACUAAGACCAAUAGCUUGAAUAUAUUCAGAUUAUUUUCAUGUUUUAAUAAAGGAUUUUUCUUACUUCCAUUGAAAAUGGGAAGUAGAAGAUAAACAGGGGCAACCACAAGACAUUCAAACUGUCAGGACUAGGGCGUAGCAGUGCCCACCCUCUAACCACUUGCCUGGUUCCAUUAGUCCCCAAGCAUGUUUGAAAACAAAAGACACAAACUAAGCAUGCUGAAUAAAACUAGCUGCUAUGGCUGUAAUAAUCAGAAAGGUGCAGAGUUUCAGAAAGAGUAGGAAAGUAGGGAAUGCCAGUAUGGAGUAUGUAAAAUAACUAGAUAUGGAUAUGGGGUUUGUUUAUGAUAUGCUUUAUGUAGACAAAGUUUGAGGUCUUUUAAAACUGGGAUUUGAGUUGAAAAGAGUCAGGAUGCACAUAUUUCCACUAUUUCAGGAUUUUCAGAUGACUAGGCACAUGUUGUGGAUGAUACUGGUACCAACUACCAAUGACCAACUAUAAAGUACCCCUGCAAUAAGGGAGACUUCCUUUUUGUAGAAUAGUCCUGAAAAUACUGACAGAUCUGUGGUUAGUUUGUUAUUUUAUUGCAUAAAAAACAGUUUAAACAAAUUUUAUAGCCAAAGUUUUAUCCUUGAUGGGUUUGGCCAGACUGCAAUUUCUUGACUAAAGCUUUUAAUGCCAGGUUAAACAGGAGAAACUUUUUCCACUAGAAGAAAAUCCUUGCUAUCUAUUUUUUCCAAUAGAAGAAAAUCCUUGCUAUUUAUUUUAUUUGAUGAAUAAACAAAUUUAUUGCAGUAGCUUAAAAAAAUUUUUUUUUUAAACAGUCUCACUCUGUCGCCCAGGCUGGAGUGAAGCAAUGUGAUCUCAGCUCACUGCAACCUCCACCUCCCGAGUAGCUGGGAUUACAGACAUGCACCACCACCCUCAGCUAAUUUUUGUAUUUUUAGUAGAGACGGGGUUUCGCCAUGUUGGCCAGGCUGGUCUUUAACUCCUGGCCUUACGUGAUCCGCCCCCCCUUAGCCUUCCAAAGUGCUGGGAUUACAGGUGUGAGCCACUGCACCUGGCCUGUAGUAGCUUAAAAUUUUCCUUGAGAAAAUUCCUGACUUUAAAAAUAACCCUUAUAUAAGUACAAGUGAUUGUGACAAAUGACGUAAAAAUGGCAUUCAUGAUGUCUGAAACAAGCCUAAAUAGAAUUCAAGAUUAGACUAAAUGAUUUUCACAAAGCACAUUCAAGGUUUUACAUUCUAUGAUUGAAAAAAAUUUUUUGAAAACUUUUUAUUUCAUUCUUUCCUGUAGGAUUUUGCUACAAAUAACUUUGGGAAUGAAUAAAGUGGAAUGGUAACUUUCCAGUGGUUCAGAAUUGAAUUAGACUUCUUGUGACUGUGAUGUUUGGUUUCCAUUGAAAUAUAUGAAGUGAGAUGUCAUAUCCUGAAUAUAGUUUGUCUUCCCCAAUUACUUGAUAGCAUGUCUGUCAGCCAGUAAAGAUUAAGAACAGAGUUUCUCUAAAUUCCUCCGAUUAUUCCACUAAGGCACAUUAAAAUACUUAAUUUUGGGAAACCAGACAUCACAGAUUUCUCCAUGAAGUCCUAAAUCUUCUUUAAAGUCAGAAUAGGUAUCUUAGUUACUGACAGUAUUCAGGUUUUUUUCUCCCUUGGUGAUAUGUCAUUCCAUCAGUGAAAAAAUAUUUUCUCCCAGGGAUAAGAAAGGUAUUCUGGUAAUACAUUAUCAUCAAUCCUUAAACAGUAACAGUCUUGGCACUUAUCACAAAACCGACCCAUUUCUUAUAACCAGAAAGAUUAUCUUAGACUGUCCUUCACAUUAUACUUUACCUACUGCCUUGUAAGAAUAAGAGUUGCUCACUGUGUUUACUUGCUGUCCUCCAUAUUCUCCAUUGCACCAUUGGUGUAUAACGUUAAGAGUUUCAUUGAAUAUUAUUUUAAGUAUUACAAAAGGCAGCUUGCUUCUUAAUCUAUGCAUCUUUGGGGUUUUUGAAGAAAUUUAAUUCUUUGAUGUAAAAAGGAACUGUUAAAAAAGUUGGAAGCUCUGCACCUGUGUAUAUAUAUAUUUUAGCAAUAAAGCAGCAUGGGCUGAGAAUGCAC